GAAAGCCCUACGGGGCGGGCGGGGAUGGGCAUGCGGCGCAUUAGGAAGACGGCGGUGUGACGGACCACCGUUCCGACGAUGCGUAGGGGUUCUGAGAGGAAGGCCCCCCACACUGGUACUGAGACACGGACCAGACUCCUACGGGAGGCAGCAGUGAGGAAUAUUGGUCAAUGGCCGGAAGGCUGAACCAGCCAAGCCGCGUGAGGGAGGAAGGCGCAGAGCGUCGCAGACCUCUUUUGCCGGGGGACAAAAGGCCGGACUCGUCCGGUCCUGAGGGUACCCGGAGAAAAAGCAUCGGCUAACUCCGUGCCAGCAGCCGCGGUAAUACGGAGGAUGCGAGCGUUAUCCGGAUUCAUUGGGUUUAAAGGGUGCGCAGGCGGGCCUUUAAGCCGGCGGUGAAAUCGCGGGGCUCAACCCCGCCGAGCCGUCGGAACUGGGGGCCUUGAGUGCGGCGGAGGCAUGCGGAAUGCGCGGUGUAGCGGUGAAAUGCAUAGAUAUCGCGCAGAACCCCGAUUGCGAAGGCAGCGUGCCGUGCCGCCACUGACGCUGAGGCACGAAAGCGCGGGGAUCGAACAGGAUUAGAUACCCUGGUAGUCCGCGCCGUAAACGAAGGAUGCUGGGUGUCCGGGGCGUUCAGGCCCUGG
rnacentral:rRNA from 1 species